AGGACACAGACAUGUGAUGAAAUCAACACUAAGUGUUUGUCAUUGUAAACCACAAAAACCUCUGACAGCACAGCUGAAGAGCCCGGGGGUCAUGGAAGCCACAAGAUACAAGAUCCUCCAGGGAGAGUGGUGUGAAGAGAGGGCAGGAGCAAGCCCCAGUGUUGCUGAUACCUUGGCCAGCAGAACUG